CACGUAGGUGGCAUGGUAAGUCAAAGGUGAAAGCCCUCGGCUCAACCGAGGAACUGCCUUUGAAACUGCUUUGCUUGAGUCCGGGGAGGGGGAGCGGAAUUCCCAGUGUAGCGGUGAAAUGCGUAGAUACUGGGAGGGACACCGGUGGCGAAGGCGGCUCCCUGGACCGGUACUGACACUGAGGUGCGAAAGCGUGGGUAGCAAACA
rnacentral:rRNA from 1 species